AAACCAACCGGGAUUGCCUUAGUAACGGCGAGUGAAGCGGCAAAAGCUCAAAUUUGAAAUCUGGUACCUUUGGUGCCCGAGUUGUAAUUUGGAGAGGGCAACUUUGGGACCGUUCCUUGUCUAUGUUCCUUGGAACAGGACGUCAUAGAGGGUGAGAAUCCCGUGUGGCGAGGAGUGCGGUUCUAUGUAAAGUGCCUUCGAAGAGUCGAGUUGUUUGGGAAUGCAGCUCUAAGUGGGUGGUAAAUUCCAUCUAAAGCUAAAUAUUGGCGAGAGACCGAUAGCGAACAAGUACAGUGAUGGAAAGAUGAAAAGAACUUUGAAAAGAGAGUGAAAAAGUACGUGAAAUUGUUGAAAGGGAAGGGCAUUUGAUCAGACAUGGUGUUUUGCGCCCUCUGCUCCUUGUGGGUGGGGGAAUCUCGCAGUUCACUGGGCCAGCAUCAGUUUUGGUGGCAGGAUAAAUCCGUAGGAAUGUAACUUGCUUCGGGAAGUAUUAUAGCCUAUGGGAAUACUGCCAGCUGGGACUGAGGACUGCGACGUAAGUCAAGGAUGCUGGCAUAAUGGUUAUAUGCCGC
rnacentral:rRNA from 1 species